GAUGAACGCUGGCGGCGUGCUUAACACAUGCAAGUCGAACGGAAAGGCUCCUGCUUGCAGGGGUACUCGAGUGGCGAACGGGUUAGUAACACGUGGGUGAUCUGCCCUGCACUUCGGGAUAAGCCUGGGAAACUGGGUCUAAUACCGGAUAGGACGAUGGUUUGGAUGCCAUUGUGGAAAGUUUUUCGGUGUGGGAUGAGCUCGCGGCCUAUCAGCUUGUUGGUGGGGUAAUGGCCUACCAAGGCGUCGACGGGUAGCCGGCCUGAGAGGGUGUACGGCCACAUUGGGACUGAGAUACGGCCCAGACUCCUACGGGGGGCAGCAGUGGGGAAUAUUGCACAAUGGGCGCAAGCCUGAUGCAGCGACGCCGCGUGGGGGAUGACGGCCUUCGGGUUGUAAACUCCUUUCGCUAGGGACGAAGCGCAAGUGACGGUACCUGGAGAAGAAGCACCGGCUAACUACGUG
rnacentral:rRNA from 1 species